CACGUUUGGUUUUUGGAGGGGAAAGGGGAGCUGUAGCUGAAUCAGUAAUGGAAAUUGGUUCUUCCAUCUCUGCUUCUCUCUACAAAGCUGCUUUAUAAUCUCGGCAGAGCUGUUUUCACUGCUUUUUUGGGAACGUAAUCCAGGUUUACCCAGCCUCACUUCAAGAACAAACAGAGACUAAUUAGUAUCUAUGAAUCCCAAUCCCCAGGAGAAAGAAACUGAUUGGUUCGAUUUAUGUCCGCUUGUGUACUCUUGGUACAAUCACCUUUGACCAUCAGGGCAGUUAUGUAGUCAGGUCUCUUUGUUUUGUAAAGCAAACAUGGCUGCCAGAACCCCAUCUUUGUAAGCUAUGUUCUCAAAGUUAUGUACUUGGCAAAGAUUCCAAAAAAUGUCCACCACAGACCAUAAACGAGUAAAUUGCAGCUGAACUUCAAAAGCAUAAAGAACAAUUGACAUGUUAAGGAUUUUCAACAGACUGACUCCUACUUAAACAAAUUCAGACCUGAAUUUAAAUGGAACUCCUUCAAAGAAGUCAUCCCUGACCCAAGCCCCAAUCAAAAUUUGGUGGCCCCAUUAUUAUCUUACAUGGCACUCUUUUUCUUUAUAGUACCUAUCAUAGUUUAAAUAUGUAUUUGUGAGUCUCCUCUCCAAAAAUCA
rnacentral:lncRNA from 1 species